UUGUAAGAAUUUAAUUCUUCCUUUAAUAUAAAUAAGGCAGCAUGAAACACCGAGAGCCCUGCUGCUCUCUGCUUCAGAAGCAGCUUUGCUGCAUAAAGACCCCCAUUUCCCCGCUGAGUUGGCAUCUCUGAAUAAACAAGAGGCCAGAAGGUUAUUUUUCAGUGAACUUUCUUCUGGGAGCCAAGGGAGGUUCAGGCUUGGUCCUGGCUUCUGGAGGCUGGUUCCUGGCUGUGGGGUCUCCAAGCACAAUAAGAUACAGAUGAAGGAGGGGGGAAUGCAAGGCACGGGCAAUAAUAAAUAUGGAAAUUCAACCCGACUCUGUAAACAAGUCCCAGCUGAAUGGGGGGCCUGGGGCUACUGUUGGGGGCCACGUGGGCACGCCCCUUCCCUGCAGCCCCAGCCGCCAGUCUGUGCAGUCUGACUCCGGCUCACACGGAAGGGUUCCUACAGGUUUCAGUGUUCCAUCACAGCCCAGCCUGCUGCGAGUAAACCCUGGCAGGCAAACCGGUUGUCCAUCUUCCAGAGCCCCUGGGGCCAGGUGAGAGGACCUCUGGGGUCAGGACGGGAUCCUCUGCAGCUCAUGGUGAGCCUGACAGCCUGGUGGACCGGGUAGGCUGUUCAGUAGGCGUGGCCGGCUUAAACCCUGGAGGGGAACCCAGGUGCUGGUGCAGGCGCCCUCAUUCUUGCCUCCCCCUCGGCUUGCUGUAAGGGUUACUGAGGCAAUGCCAUGAGAGGAACUCCCAAAGGGCCAGUGAAGCCACAAGUGGAGGAGGAGUGGCUUCCCAACCCCCCUAAACAGGCCUGGAGACAGGCCAGCGCCCACCACAGGCCCUGGCACCUGCCCAGUGACCGGGGCCCCCGGCCGCACUGAGGUGACCUCUCUGGGGUUUGGGGGCUGGGUCUGCACUACCAUCCCUGUGUGCUCCCAGUCAGCUGAGCCUCUCCGGGUCUUGGUCAUCUGUGUGGCUGGCAAGGCCCCUUCCAGAAAAGAGGGUUCUGUGCAGUGAGGGAGACCCACUAGAGAGAGCAAGUCUUGGGGCCAACAGAUGGAGCUGGGUCUCCCCUGGCCUCCAGGCGCUCCUGCUUUGGGACCGACACCCUGCUGAAGAAAACUCAGGGCUACAGCAUCUGUCACUUCUCAGCUCUGCAACUUUCCUAAACCGGGCAUCAGAGGCCAGGCUGCGAACCAGACCAGAGUACCCUGGGUGUAGGUGCUAUCCUUUAUCCCACUCACCCUGUGUCUCUUGGAGCUUCCACCUUCGGUAUCUGCCCUCCCCCACCAUGUAGAUACCGGCUGUGGAGAGAAUACAGAGGGGUGAGGGGCCGUGGAGCUUGUACCCUGCACGGUGUGUGGCACCCACAGAGUUCGGCACACUGGGGGAAGGGGUAGGGUGAGGGGGUGCACCCUGAGACGUGUAGCUGAAAAAGCGGCCACAUGAAACUUCUCUCUGCCACCAAGUACCCACUUCUGUGCAACAGAGACACUGGCCUCUUGGGGCCUCGAAUCUCUACCUGGUCUUUUUUCCAAAUAGCUUAAAAAAUGGCAGC
rnacentral:lncRNA from 1 species